rnacentral:rRNA from 1 species
CCCGCUGAACUUAAGCAUAUCAAUAAGCGGAGGAAAAGAAACUAACAAGGAUUCCCCUAGUAACUGCGAGUGAAGCGGGAAAAGCUCAAAUUUAAAAUCUGGCGGUCUUUCGGCCGUCCGAGUUGUAAUCUGGAGAAGCGUUUAUCCGCGUUGGACCGUGUACAAGUCUUCUGGAAGGGAGCGUCAUAGAGGGUGAGAAUCCCGUCUUUGACACGGACUACCAAUGCUUUUGUGAUGCGCUCUCGAAGAGUCGAGUUGUUUGGGAAUGCAGCUCAAAAUGGGUGGUAAAUUCCAUCUAAAGCUAAAUAUAGGCGAGAGACCGAUAGCGAACAAGUACCGUGAGGGAAAGAUGAAAAGCACUUUGGAAAGAGAGUUAAACAGUACGUGAAAUUGCUGAAAGGGAAACGCUUGAAGUCAGUCACGUCUGCCAGGACUCAGCCUUGCUUCUGCUUGGUGUAUUUUCUGGUUUGAUGGGCCAACAUCAAUUUUGACCGUUGGAGAAAGGCUGUGGGAAUGUGGCACCUUCUGGUGUGUUAUAGCCCAUGGUUGUAUACAGCGGUUGGGAUUGAGGACUGCAGCACGCCUUUAUGGCCGGGGGUUUUGCCCACGUUACGUGCUUAGGAUGUUGGCAUAAUGGCUUUAAGCGACCCGUCUUGAAACACGG